CAAGAUCAUAUUUGUUCUUCUCAUACUUGAAUAUUUAUAAAAAUAAUUCAAAUUGUGUUAUUAAGGUUUGGAAAGAAAGUGGCAAUACACUAAGAAUGCAAAAAUGAGAGUUUGAAUCUUCAUCUCAUCUUAAACUUUUUAUUUUUUUUACCCAUUGGAUGCAUUCAAGAAACAAGAAGAAAAGGCUUUUCUGAUGUCUCUGAAGUUCACCAGCCGGCUGUUAAAUAGCAGCAUUCUAGUUGCUAGGCUACACCAUGUUUUGCAGGUUCCACGCCGCCUGAAAUUCAUAGCAGAGGACAUUGAAGAGAGACUUGUCUGUGGGCAGAGCACCAUUUCUGAGGGUGGCAUGCUUAUUGGCAAUAAGCAACUAAAAAUCAAACCUCCACAAAGUUAGAUAAGAGAUUCGGCUACAUUGUCUCCACAGUCCAAAGAACAGUAAAAAAUAGUUCACCAGGUGAAAAGAGAAUUCAGUCACCAUGUUCAGUCAGUCCGCUGCAAAUGGAAGUGCUGACACCAGAAUUUUUCCCAUGGGGAUAAAAAAUGGAGAACUAGUUUGUUUUUCCUAGACCUUUGCAUUCCACUUUUUCUCAGCCUCACAAAGAAAUACAAAGAUAUCGGUUGCUGGAACAUCUCACUGACGUACAAGUACCAGUACAACAUAAAACCAGAAACAAAGGAGUCCCAAGGUGCCAUUGCCAGGCCUUUCAAACCAUUCAUUAAUCUUCUUCACCUGGAAUAUAUAGAUGCAGCAGGAAAGAAGAAUGAGUUCAGCAUAUCCCCAUGGCAGACUUAACUGGAUGCCUCUGCCUCUGAAAGUGAGCAAACAAGUUUCUAGGUACUCUGCUGCUCUGCUGUCCGAAAGAUCACCAAGCUUUAUAUCACAAGAAGAAAUAUAUAUUAAAGGUCAUAGAAACAAGGAAUAUUUGUGGAAUAUUAAAAAUUACUGAGUGUGGUUUCAAGUUCAGAUCAAACUUUCUCAGUAAUUCACAUUUGAUGUGCUCCAGCUCAUCCUUCCCCAAUUAAAAUUUGUACGUUUGCCAAUAAAGAUUAAGAGAUCAGCA
rnacentral:lncRNA from 1 species